UUUUAUGGAGAGUUUGAUCCUGGCUCAGGAUGAACGCUGGCGGCGUGCCUAAUACAUGCAAGUCGAGCGAACAGACGAGGAGCUUGCUCCUCUGACGUUAGCGGCGGACGGGUGAGUAACACGUGGAUAACCUACCUAUAAGACUGGGAUAACUUCGGGAAACCGGAGCUAAUACCGGAUAAUAUAUUGAACCGCAUGGUUCAAUAGU
rnacentral:rRNA from 1 species